rnacentral:rRNA from 1 species
UAGGGAAUCUUCGGCAAUGGGGGCGAACCCUGACCGAGCAACGCCGCGUGAGUGAAGAAGGGUUUCGGCUCGUAAAGCUCUGUUGUUAAAGAAGAACACGUAUGAGAGUAACUGUUCAUACGUUGACGGUAUUUAACCAGAAAGUCACGGCUAACUACGUGCCAG